rnacentral:rRNA from 1 species
GAUGAACGCUGACAGAAUGCUUAACACAUGCAAGUCGAUGGGGAAGUGGUGCUUGCACCAUGGUAACCAUGGCGGACGGGUGAGUAACGCGUAAGGAACUUGCCUGCGGGACUGGGAUAACAGCAGGAAACUGCUGAUAAUACCGGAUAAGGUCAUUAAGCUGCAUAGCUUAGUGAUGAAAGGAGACGCCUGCGGAGAGCCUUGCGUCCUAUUAGCUAGUUGGAGGGGUAACGGCCCACCAAGGCGAAGAUAGGUAGCCGGCCUGAGAGGGUGGACGGCCACAAGGGGACUGAGAUACGGCCCUUACUCCUACGGGAGGCAGCAGUGGGGAAUAUUGGACAAUGGGGGCAACCCUGAUCCAGCAAUUCUGUGUGCACGAAGACGGUUUUCGGGUUGUAAAGUGCUUUCAGCAGGGAAGAAGGAAGUGACGGUACCUGCAGAAGAAGCGACGGCUAAAUACGUG